GUACUCGCUUUGGCAGCACAUUUAUUAAAAUUGGAAAGAUACAGAGCAGAUCAGCAUGGCCCCUGCACAAGGGUGACAUGCAAAUUCAUGAAGCAUUCCAUAUUUUU
ensembl:snRNA U6 U6 spliceosomal RNA